rnacentral:rRNA from 1 species
AUUGAACGCUGGCGGCAGGCCUAACACAUGCAAGUCGAGCGGAUGACGGGAGCUUGCUCCUUGAUUCAGCGGCGGAUGGGUGAGUAAUGCCUAGGAAUCUGCCUGGUAGUGGGGGACAACGUUUCGAAAGGAACGCUAAUACCGCAUACGUCCUACGGGAGAAAGCAGGGGACCUUCGGGCCUUGCGCUAUCAGAUGAGCCUAGGUCGGAUUAGCUAGUUGGUGGGGUAAUGGCUCACCAAGGCGACGAUCCGUAACUGGUCUGAGAGGAUGAUCAGUCACACUGGAACUGAGACACGGUCCAGACUCCUACGGGAGGCAGCAGUGGGGAAUAUUGGACAAUGGGCGAAAGCCUGAUCCAGCCAUGCCGCGUGUGUGAAGAAGGUCUUCGGAUUGUAAAGCACUUUAAGUUGGGAGGAAGGGCAGUAAGUUAAUACCUUGCUGCUUUGACGUUACCGACAGAAUAAGCACCGGCUAACUCUGUGCCAGCAGCCGCAGUAA